AGCAACUACUCUAAAUCUAACCCCUUUUUCAUUUUGUUAUUUGAUUAGUGUUUAACUUCAUAAGUUUAUAAUGCAAGCCUUAAGACUCUCUAAAAAAGCAUCCCCUCACCGCCCCCCACAAAAAAACCCCAAACUAAUUUAGGUUAAAAAACAAAGUAAUGGCAGCAAAAGUGUCUUUAAGUUUUGCAAUAAUCCUUCCAGUACUUUUGCAUCCCAAAAGGCUCCAGAUGUGACCAGCCACUGCAAAAUGGUAAGUUGUUUAUCAGCAUUCUACAAUGGUAACUGGCACCUGUAAUUUUACUCUUAUUUUGCAUCAGCAUUCUUAAAGCAGAAAUGGAGAAUGAAACACCUAAAUGAAAAGGAAUAUGCUUAUAAUUCAUAUUAAUGAACUCACCUUAAUACACAAACUAAAGCAGCCUCAAGAGCAAUGCAUUGCAAUCAGAAUCCCGGACUUUUUUGUACCAACAACUUAUGUCAAGAUGAAGAAACUGAAGCAUAAAGCAUUUAGAAGGCUGCAGGUUUCCAGAGAAGCUGAAGAAAAUCUUUCCCUCAGUCCUUUCUUUGUUCAAGAUACUCCUCUAAGAAACAAAAUUAAAAGCAAUCCCCAUGUAGCACAAAAUUUAAAAAGUGAAAGCUUUGUAAAGAUCUAUCACAGCAACCCUGAAGAGAUGUGGAAUGGAAAGUGAGAAAUAAAUAUUUAUAAAUGCAAAGGCUUAAAUUCCCA
rnacentral:lncRNA from 13 species